rnacentral:rRNA from 1 species
GACUAACGCUGGCGGUACGCUUAACACAUGCAAGUCGAACGGGUAGUAAUACCAGUGGCAAACGGGUGAGUAAUGCAUAGGAAUCUGCCCUUUAGUGGGGGAUAGCUCGGAGAAAUUCGAAUUAAUCCCGCAUAAUGUCGAGAGAUGAAAGCAGCAAUGCGCUAAAGGAUGAGCCUGUGUCCGAUUAGCUAGUUGGUGGGGUAAAGGCCUACCAAGGCAACGAUCGGUAGCUGGUCUGAGAGGAUGAUCAGCCACAGUGGAACUGAGACACGGUCCACACUCCUACGGGAGGCAGCAGUGAGGAAUUUUCCGCAAUGGGCGAAAGCCUGACGGAGCGAUACCGCGUGUAGGAAGAAGGCCUUCGGGUUGUAAACUACUGUCGAUGGGGAAGAAAAAAAUGACGGUACCCAUAAAGGAAGCACCGGCUAACUCUGUGCCAGCCGCCGCCGUAA